rnacentral:rRNA from 1 species
UGCGUAGGCGGAUAUUUAAGUCAGAUGUGAAAUUCCAGGGCUCAACUUUGGAACUGCAUUUGAAACUGGAUAUCUGGAGUGCAGGAGAGGAAAGCGGAAUUCCUAGUGUAGCGGUGAAAUGCGUAGAGAUUAGGAAGAACACCAGUGGCGAAGGCGGCUUUCUGGACUGUAACUGACGCUGAGGCACGAAAGCGUGGGGAGCAAACAGGAUUAGAUACCCUGGUAGUCCACGCUGUAAACGAUGAGUGCUAGGUGUGGGGGAUUUCGACAUCCUCUGUGCCGCAGUAAACGCAAUAAGCACUCCGCCUGGGGAGUACGGUCGCAAGACUAAA